rnacentral:rRNA from 1 species
GACAGAGGAUGCAAGCGUUGUCCGGAAUUAUUGGGCGUAAAGAGCUCGUAGGCGGUGUGUCGCGUCGGCCGUGAAAACCUGCAGCUUAACUGUGGGCUUGCGGUCGAUACGGGCAUCACUGGAGUUCGGCAGGGGAGACUGGAAUUCCUGGUGUAGCGGUGAAAUGCGCAGAUAUCAGGAGGAACACCGGUGGCGAAGGCGGGUCUCUGGGCCGAUACUGACGCUGAGGAGCGAAAGCGUGGGGAGCGAACAGG